rnacentral:rRNA from 1 species
UACAGAGGUGGCAAGCGUUGUUCGGAAUUACUGGGCGUAAAGGGCGCGUAGGCGGCCAUCUAAGUCAGACGUGAAAGCCCCCGGCUUAACUGGGGAGGGUCAUUCGAUACUGCUCGACUUGAAGGCAGGAGAGGGUAGUGGAAUUCCCGGUGUAGUGGUGAAAUGCGUAGAUAUCGGGAGGAACACCAGUGGCGAAGGCGACUACCUGGCCUGUUCUUGACGCUGAGGCGCGAAAGCUGGGGGAGCAAACGGG